rnacentral:tRNA from 1 species
GAAGUAGUAAGUUAAAUAAAACUAUUGGCCUUCAAAUCCGAAAAUGACAUUCCUACUUUUAAAAUUU